GAUGAACGCUGGCGGCGUGCUUAACACAUGCAAGUCGAACGAUGAAGCCCAGCUUGCUGGGUGGAUUAGUGGCGAACGGGUGAGUAACACGUGAGUAACCUGCCCUUAACUCUGGGAUAAGCCUGGGAAACUGGGUCUAAUGCCGGAUAGGAGCGUCCACCGCAUGGUGGGUGUUGGAAAGAUUUAUCGGUUUUGGAUGGACUCGCGGCCUAUCAGCUUGUUGGUGAGGUAAUGGCUCACCAAGGCGACGACGGGUAGCCGGCCUGAGAGGGUGACCGGCCACACUGGGACUGAGACACGGCCCAGACUCCUACGGGAGGCAGCAGUGGGGAAUAUUGCACAAUGGGCGCAAGCCUGAUGCAGCGACGCCGCGUGAGGGAUGACGGCCUUCGGGUUGUAAACCUCUUUCAGUAGGGAAGAAGCGAAAGUGACGGUACCUGCAGAAGAAGCACCGGCUAACUACGUG
rnacentral:rRNA from 1 species